rnacentral:rRNA from 1 species
AACGAACGCUGGCGGCAUGCCUAACACAUGCAAGACGAACGAGACCUUCGGGUCUAGUGGCGCACGGGUGCGUAACGCGUGGGAACCUGCCCUUAGGUUCGGAAUAACUCCCCGAAAGGGGUGCUAAUACCGGAUAAUGUCUUCGGACCAAAGAUUUAUCGCCUUUGGAUGGGCCCGCGUUGGAUUAGCUAGUUGGUAGGGUAAAAGCCUACCAAGGCGACGAUCCAUAGCUGGUCUGAGAGGAUGAUCAGCCACACUGGGACUGAGACACGGCCCAGACUCCUACGGGAGGCAGCAGUGGGGAAUAUUGGACAAUGGGCGAAUGCCUGAUCCAGCAAUGCCGCGUGAGUGAUGAAGGCCUUAGGGUUGUAAAGCUCUUUUACCCGGGAUGAUAAUGACAGUACCGGGAGAAUAAGCUCCGGCUAACUCCGUG